GUGCUAAGGUAGCAUAAUCAUUUGCUACUUAAUUGGUAGCUGGAAUGAAAGGUUAAACUAGUUUACUCAGUUUGUUGUGUUUUGUAAGAAAUUAAAGUCGAGGUAAGAAUUCUUUGAUCUGCUAGGGGACGAUAAGACCCUAGAAGCUUAACAAUAAGAGUAUUUAUUAGUUAUAAAAAUUAAUUUGUUUUACUGGGGCGGUAAAGGUAUAUAAACUAUUAGUGUAUUGAUAGAUCCUUAAAAUAAAGAUAAAACGGGAAAGUUACUCUAGGGGUAACAGUGCAAUAUUUUUGGAGAGAUCAUAUCGAUAAAAAUGUUUGCAACCUCGAUGUUGAAUUAAGAUGUCUACGUGAAGCAGCAGGUACGUGAGAGGGUUUGUUCAACCUUUAAAUUUUUACAUGAUCUGAGUUCAAACCG
rnacentral:rRNA from 1 species